CUUGUUUAGCCUAUAUUUCUUUUCGUUGUUCACGGUAUAGUUUACAAGUACAAUAAAUAUUAUUACUAACAUCAAAUGUCGUCCACUCGUCCGUAUAUAAGUUCUCCCCUCCGCCCUAUGUAUAAGCCCAUGAAAAAAUGCUUACGAAUGAAUAGAAGCCCAGGAAUUAUAUUCGGAGGUUUACGGUAUAUACACUGUUUUUAACUCGUUUUGAGAAAAUAGAUUUUAAUGUUUUAUUAUGUUUCAUUGACCAAACAGCCACAAAAUGUGUAAAUAAAGCAAGGGUGACUAUAGCCCCAAAAAUUAUUCCAUUCACCGAUGAACACGAAAAAAUAUUUUAUUUUACGAUUUCAUCAGCAAAGUUGUUGGAAGAACAUAAAGUCACUUUAAUAAUUGCAAAAUUAAUUGCACAUAUCAUGCACAUUUUGCUUCUAUUUUAAACAAAAGGUACGCCUCUAGCUUAAGGAAUAAAAAACCUAAUCUUAAUUAAAGGUGAUCUACAGUCCGAUCUGCGCAUGUGCACAAAUGAGCCCACUUUUUAUGAUGCAAACAGUUUAACUAUGUUUUGAGUUCUUGAAAAGCCUGAUUGUUGUUUCUUGAUCAUUUAUUAUUAUACUCCAGAAGCUUGAAAAUAUAAAUAGUUGUCGAAUAAAGUUCAAUAUUUUGG